rnacentral:rRNA from 1 species
UUCCAUGUGAACAGCAGUUGAACAUGGGUCAGCCGGCCCUAAGGAAUAGGGGAAACCCGUUCUGAACGACACCGGGGAUGAGUGUAACAGCAAACCCCCGUGCGUCCGAAAGGGAAUCGGGUUAAUAUUCCCGAGCCUGGAUGCAGAGAUCGACCUAGUCACUCGUCUCGAAUUGUCUUGACAAGCAGUCGUGUCUUCGGGUUUCCGAGUUGAAGGCGUAUAUUGACCAACUCGUUGUCGUCCGGUCUCUAAAUUGGUAGAGUGGACGGGGGCAUUUCACCUCGGUGUAUGCCCCGCUGGGUUGCAAUACGCUAUCCUCGAUUCUCCGUGCACGCUGUGGUCUGGCAACCAUACAAGCAGUCUCUGUCUUCGGGUUUCCGAGUUGAAGGCGUAUAUUGACCAACUCGUUGUCGUCCGGUCUCUAAAUUGGUAGAGUGGACGGGGGCAUUUCACCUCGGUGUAUGCCCCGCUGGGUUGCAAUACGCCAUCCUCGAUUCUCCGUGCAAGCUGCGGUGUGGCAUUCGUGCGAGGAUGGACAAAGUCAAAAGCGGUAACGCGAACGAACUCGGAGAAGUCGGUGGGAUCCCCGGAAAGAGUUUUCUUUUCUUUGUAAAGGACGGACUCCCUGGAAUUGGUUCGCCCAGAGAUAGGGAUGUUGUUCCUGUAAAGCACCGCGGCUCUUGCGGUGUCCGGAGUGUUCCUGCCGGCCCUUGAAAAUCCGAGGGAGUUGUAUGAUUUCUGCACCAGACCGUACCCAUAUCCGCAGCAGGUCUCCAAGGUGAACAGCCUCUAGUCGAUAGAAC